GUAAGGAUAGGUUCGGACAAGGCUCUAAUUCACUAAAUAUCCUUUAUCUCUUGAAUUUUGCCUAAAAUUCUUGUCGGCUUUUAGCAGGAUUCUGCAGGUGAGCAUAAUUUAGAUUGGUAUCAGAGCAUCACAUUUUUGCCUUAUUUGCAAUGCAUUUAUAAAUUUUUAAAUCUCCAUGCUGGACAGACACCCACAUUUAAAGGUUUUCUUUAUAUUUACAUAAGCACGCACACAUCUUAGUUCCUUGA
rnacentral:lncRNA from 1 species